rnacentral:rRNA from 1 species
UACGAAGGGGGCUAGCGUUGUUCGGAAUUACUGGGCGUAAAGCGCGCGCAGGCGGUCCUUUAAGUCAGGGGUGAAAGCCCAGAGCUCAACUCUGGAACGGCCUUUGAAACUAGAGGACUUGGGUACGGGAGAGGUGAGUGGAAUUCCGAGUGUAGAGGUGAAAUUCGUAGAUAUUCGGAAGAACACCAGUGGCGAAAGGCGGCUCACUGGCCCGUUACCGACGCUCAGGCGCGACAGCGUGGGGAGCAAACAGG